rnacentral:rRNA from 1 species
CGAAUGGGGGAACCCACUAUCUUUAGUCGGAUAGUAUCCUUACGUGAAUACAUAGCGUGAGGAAGGCAGACCCAGGGAACUGAAACAUCUAAGUACCUGGAGGAAGAGAAAGAAAAAUCGAUUUCCUGAGUAGCGGCGAGCGAAACGGAAAGAGCCCAAACCAAGAAGCUUGCUUCUUGGGGUUGUAGGACACUCUAUACGGAGUUACAAAAGAAAGUUAUAAAUGAAGCGGUCUGGAAAGGCCCGCCAAAGACGGUAACAGCCCGGUAGUUGAAAUGGCUUUCCCUCCAGAGUGGAUCCUGAGUACGGCGGAACACGUGAAAUUCCGUCGGAAUCCGGGAGGACCAUCUCCCAAGGCUAAAUACUCCCUAGUGACCGAUAGUGAACCAGUACCGUGAGGGAAAGGUGAAAAGCACCCCGGAAGGGGAGUGAAACAGUUCCUGAAACCGUGUGCCUACAAGUAGUUAGAGCCCGUUAAUGGGUGAUAGCGUGCCUUUUGUAGAAUGAACCGGCGAGUUACGAUUUGUUGCAAGGUUAAGCGGAAAAAGCGGAGCCGUAGCGAAAGCGAGUCUGAAUAGGGCGCAUAAGUAACAGGUCGUAGACCCGAAACCAGGUGAUCUACCCAUGUCCAGGAUGAAGGUAAGGUAAUACUUACUGGAGGUCCGAACCCACGCACGUUGAAAAGUGCGGGGAUGAGGUGUGGGUAGCGGAGAAAUUCCAAUCGAACUUGGAGAUAGCUGGUUCUCUCCGAAAUAGCUUUAGGGCUAGCCUCGAGGUAAAGAGUCAUGGAGGUAGAGCACUGUUUGGACUAGGGGCCCUUCUCGGGUUACCGAAUUCAGAUAAACUCCGAAUGCCAUGUACUUAUACUCGGGAGUCAGACUGCGAGUGAUAAGAUCCGUAGUCGAAAGGGAAACAGCCCAGACCACCAGUUAAGGUCCCCAAAUAUAUGUUAAGUGGAAAAGGAUGUGGGGUUGCUUAGACAACCAGGAUGUUGGCUUAGAAGCAGCCACCAUUGAAAGAGUGCGUAAUAGCUCACUGGUCGAGUGACCCCGCGCCGAAAAUGUACCGGGGCUAAACAUAUUACCGAAACUGUGGAUGAACCUCUUUAGAGGUUCGUGGUAGGAGAGCGUUCUAAGGGCGGUGAAGUCAGACCGGAAGGACUGGUGGAGCGCUUAGAAGUGAGAAUGCCGGUAUGAGUAGCGAAAGAAGGGUGAGAAUCCCUUCCACCGAAUAUCUAAGGUUUCCUGAGGAAGGCUCGUCCGCUCAGGGUUAGUCGGGACCUAAGCCGAGGCCGAUAGGCGUAGGCGAUGGACAACAGGUAGAGAUUCCUGUACCAGUGCUAAUUGUUUAACCGAUGGGGUGACACAGAAGGAUAGGGAAUCGCACGAAUGGAAAUGUGCGUCCAAGCAGUGAGUGUGAG